AUGCAGGAGACCCCUGACACCACCGUGGAGCCUCUUUUCUGUGGCCAGCUGGAGCUUUCUGAACCCACCUGCAUGAUGCACCACAUGAGGCCAAUUAAGUGUGUUGCAUUUGAAGGAACCUUAACUGGAAGGCAUUUCUAUGGUUGUCCAGUGCAGUAGAGUGAAGGUGUUAACUGUGGUGUUACUGAGUGGGUUGACAAGCCCUGGCAUCCAAUUCUUCAGAAUUGCUUGUCCAGGCUGUGGGACAUGUACCAUGAACAGAAUUGAGGCAGGGUAAUUGAUAAGCAGAAGUAUGAGAAGCAUUUGGCCAAGCUUAAGACUGAAAAUGACAAGCUGUGCAUUGAGUACACAAAGCUUGUCCAAGAUGUAUCCAAGAUGUUUGAUUGGCAGGAUGGUAGGGUAGGCCACAUGGAUAACUAG
rnacentral:rRNA from 1 species